UUAGUAGGAGUAAAGUCGUAACAAGGUUUCCGUAGGUGAACCUGCGAAGGAUCAUUACAAAUCAGUUUGGUGUGGGGUGUGUGGUGAAAGUGUGGUAGCAAUACCUUUACUCUAUACCACUCACUCUACUAGCACCAAUAUUUACGCUUGUUGUGUUUGACAGAGUAAUUUUGAUAUUAAAAAUAGACAACUUUUAACAACGGAUCUCUGGGCUCUUGCAACGAUGAAGAACGCAGCCAAGUGCGAUAUUUAAUGCGAUUUGCAUGAAUCUGUGAGUCAUCGAGUCUUUGAACGCAACUUGCGCCACUUGUGGCAUGUCUGUUUGAGUACCGUAUAACAACUGCAGCAAUGCGAUUUGACCAUUCCGGUUGGGUGGUUUAAAUGAGUGUUUAUAUACAGAGUGGGUCUGUAAAGCUAGAGACGCAAGUCUUGUUUACAUCCCCCUCUACUACUCCAUGGUCUCAAAUCAGGCAAGAUUACCCGCUGAACUUAA
rnacentral:rRNA from 1 species